GUCUACGGCCAGACCAUCCUGAUUGCGCUCAAUCUUGUCUGAUCAUGGAAGCUAAGCAGGGUUGGGCCUGGUUAGUACUUGGAUGGGAGAAUAUUUACAGAUCUGUGCUUUUAAGGGAAUUUUGGUUUUAUGCCCU
rfam:Heterocephalus glaber contig120853, whole genome shotgun sequence.